GUUUUUCCAAGAAAGGUGGCAACCCUAACUAGUUUUCACAUACUCUUACUUAAGUAUGGAAACUUAAGAGGGAUGUAUGGGAACAAAACUUGUGUGGACUGGCUGACAAUGAAUAUAGUUAAAGGGACACUAUAGUCACCAGAACAACUACAGCUUAUUGAAUUUGUUCUGGUGAGUAGAAUCAUUACCGUAAGGCUUUUUGCUGUUAACACAGUCUUUUUAGAGAAAUGCAGUCUUUACAUUACAGCCUAGUGAUAACUUCACUGGCCAGUCCUUAGAUGGCUGUUAG